CUUGGCGUAAAGCGCAUGCAGGCGGCCUGUUAAGUCAGAUGUGAAAGCCCCGGGGCUUAACCUCGGAAUUGCAUUUGAAACUGGCAGGCUAGAGUCUUGUAGGAGGGGGUAGAAUUUCAGGUGUAGCGGUGAAAUGCGUAGAGAUCUGAAGGAAUACCAGUGGCGAAGGCCGGCCCCCCUGGAACAAAGACUGACGCUCAGAUGCGAAAGCGUGGGGAGCAAACAGGAUUAGAUACCCUGGUAG
rnacentral:rRNA from 1 species